rnacentral:rRNA from 1 species
CCUACGGGAGGCAGCAGUGAGGAAUAUUGGUCAAUGGACGAGAGUCUGAACCAGCCAAGUAGCGUGAAGGAUGACUGCCCUAUGGGUUGUAACCUUCUUUUAUAAAGGAAUAAAACGAGGCACGUGUGCCUUUUUGCAUGUACUUUAUCAAUAAGGAUCGGCUAACUCCGUGCCAGCAGCCUCGGUAAUACGGAGGGUACGAGCGUUAUCCGGAUUUAUUGGGUUUAAAGGGAGCGUAGAGUGGUUGUUAAGUCAGGUGUGAAAGUUUGCGGCUCAACCGUAAAAUUGCAAUUGAUACUGGCAGUCUUGAGUACAGUUGAGGUAGGCGGAAUUCGUGGUGUAGCGGUGAAAUGCUUAGAUAUCACGAAGAACCCCGAUUGCGAAGGCAGCUUACUAA